UACGUAGGGUGCAAGCGUUGUCCGGAAUUAUUGGGCGUAAAGAGCUCGUAGGCGGUCUGUCACGUCGGCUGUGAAAACCCGAGGCUCAACCUCGGGCCUGCAGUCGAUACGGGCAAACUAGAGUACUGCAGGGGAGACUGGAAUUCCUGGUGUAGCGGUGAAAUGCGCAGAUAUCAGGAGGAACACCGGUGGCGAAGGCGGGUCUCUGGGCAGUAACUGACGCUGAGGAGCGAAAGCGUGGGGAGCGAACAGGA
rnacentral:rRNA from 1 species